UACGAAGGGGGCUAGCGUUGCUCGGAUUGACUGGGCGUAAAGGGCGCGUAGGCGGUUUGCAUAGUCAGACGUGAAAUUCCUGGGCUUAACCUGGGGGCUGCGUUUGAUACAUGCAGGCUUGAGUUCGGAAGAGGGUCGUGGAAUUCCCGGUGUAGCGGUGAAAUGCGUAGAGAUCGGAAAGAACACCAGUGGCGAAGGCGGCGGCCUGGGUCCAAACUGACACUGAGGUGCGAAAGCGUGGGGAGCAAACAGG
rnacentral:rRNA from 1 species